AUACGGAGGGUGCAAGCGUUAUUCGGAAUCACUGGGCGUAAAGGGUGCGUAGGCGGUUUGAUAAGUCUGAUGUGAAAUCCUAUGGCUCAACCAUAGAACUGCAUUGGAAACUGUCAAACUAGAAUACUGAAGGGGCAGAUGGAAUUAGUGGUGUAGGGGUAAAAUCCGUAGAUAUCACUAGGAAUACCGAAAGCGAAGGCGAUCUGCUGGGAAGUUAUUGACGCUGAGGCACGAAAGCGUGGGGAGCAAACGGGAUUAGAAACCCCUGUAGUCC
rnacentral:rRNA from 1 species